UACGGAGGGUGCAAGCGUUAUCCGGAUUCACUGGGUUUAAAGGGUGCGUAGGUGGGCAGGUAAGUCCGUGGUGAAAUCUCUGAGCUUAACUCAGAAACUGCCGUGGAUACUAUUUGUCUUGAAUGUUGUGGAGGUGAGCGGAAUAUGUCAUGUAGCGGUGAAAUGCUUAGAUAUGACAUAGAACACCAAUUGCGAAGGCAGCUCACUACACAAUUAUUGACGCUGAGGCACGUAAGCGUGGGGAUCAAACAGG
rnacentral:rRNA from 1 species